rnacentral:lncRNA from 1 species
GGAAGCUUCUGGUGAAAAAGGAAUAAUUAUAGAAAUUAUGUGCUAGAGACAGUGAUGGGUGAUUGGAUAUAAAGGUGUUAUAGUGAAGUGAUAAAGGUCCCAAAGGAGUUGGUGCUCAUGGGAAUUGGGGAUAUAAAAAGUCCCACUGGUUACCUGAAAUAUGGAGAAUAAAGUUUGCACCAAGGGUAAAAUAAGAUCCAGUGGUAAGUCAAUCCUGGAGGUCCAGCACAGCUGACAGGUGAGUGUGUGGGAACUCUUAAGAAUGGAGUGAGAUGUGAUCCCUUCACAGCAAGAUGCACAUCCAUUUAGGAAGUAAGGGGUCGGGGUUCUUGGAAGGUCUAGGUGGGCUGGUGAUGGAGAAAAACUGGAGGUUUCUGUGUGCUUUUGGACCCAAAUUAUGGGAACAUUUCAGAGUUUUCCAGCUCAUACAGUGAUAGAGCUCAGAAUUCAGGUGUUAGAAAGUCUAUGAAUCCUGAUAGAUUUUGUAAGAAACCUGAAUCCAUUGCAUAUAUGUGAGUGAGGCAUGGCUUUAAGAAAAGUUACAGUUCAUUCCUCACAUGGUUCCCAGCAUGUACAUGUAUAAAGCAUAUCUAUAAUGCAUUAAUUUCCAAUUGUGUGGGAAGGUUGGCUCAGAACUGUCCCAUACCCUUCCAUGGUGCCCUGGACACAGUUGGUCUUGCCUGACUCCCCAGUGUCAUAGGGUUGGUCCGAGUGAGCACUGCUGGUUGCUGGGAGAAGAGGUGUUACUUAUUUGGAGAUGUUGAUUCUAGUCUUGGCUCUGUUAUUUGACUGCACAGUAUCAGAGGAGCCCCCUGACCUCUCUGUGCCUUAGUUUCUUAUCUCAUGGAAGAUUGUUGCCUGACUAGGGACUACCUCAAGGGCUUUUUGUGAGGAUAGAUGAGAGUAGGAAAACUCAAGAGCCUUUAGUGCCAUGCUGACUACAUGCUACAAACAUCUAUAAAACUUUUUUUUAAAAUGUUGGUGCCUACAUCUUCACUCUCCUCCCAGCCCUGGCCAAUUAAACCACAAACUCAGGCAGCAGCAGUGUCUUGAGAUGCCUUGAAUUACUGCCUCGAGAGGAAGAAAGAAAUGCAUUAUUACCUUGGAAGAAUCCUAUAAGGCUUAAGGGUUUUAAAAGAAUUCUUUUUGGAAACAGGCAUUUCUUUAAGAACACCCAGAUGUUGACAUCUGUAUUCAUGGUACAAGCCAGUAUUGUCUAAGCAGGUUCUCUUGUUUGCUUCUCAUCACAGUGUUUGGAAACUCAGAUAUGCUUAACAUAUAGUUUAUGAAGUCUUGACAGCAAAUGUAAACAGACAUGGAUUUAUAAAUCUAAAUAUGUGUUAAAGUUGUAAUUAGUUAUGAGAGAAAAGCCCUUUCCCUCACACGUAACUCCUUCGUUAAUUAUAAACUGCAUUUUUCCAAGAACAUUUAAGUGCCUCAGUGUUUGUAUGAUGGGGCAGAGCAGGUGCCAGUUUAUGUCCCAGCUGACAUGAUGUUUUGCAAGCUCCCCAGGGUCAUGCCCAGGCACAUGGAACAUCUGGGAGUACUGGAAUUGGGAGUACUGGAAAUGUGCUGGGAUCCACAGAACCCACAGGGUCAGUAAAGCUACAAAGUGUUUUCAUGAACAGUUGCAGUUGUGUCGACAGGGGUGGAGCCAGUCGUGUUUCGGGGGUGGCAGAGGGUUUGCUACUAAGGAACACAAGAUGCCAUAGCAGAUCGCAUGUAGCAUGUGGGUGCUGUAGAGGAAAUUCAGCGAUGUACAUGACUCUGAUCCUGGACAUAGACUCUGUACCUAUGAAGAAAUUGUUUCUGAAAUAAGGCAAUUUUGUGAAUGUUUAAAAUGCUUGGAGCAUUAAAGUAAUGUUAUUUCAA